AUGGUGAAGGAGAAGAGCCAUCUGAAUAUUGUGGUCAUAGGCCAUGUCAACUCUGGGAAGUCGACCACCACGGGCCAUUUGAUAUGCUUGCUUGGGGGCGUUGACAGGCUUGCAAUUGAGAGGCUCGAGAAGGAAGCUGCUGAGAUGAAUAAGAGGUCAUUCAAGUACGCGUGGGUGCUUGACAAGCUCAAGGCUGAGCGGGAGAGGGGUAAUACCAUUGACAUCACACUCUCGAAGUUCGAGACCACCAACUACCUCUGCACGGUUAUUGAUGCCCCUGGUCACCGCGACUUCAUCAAGAACAUGAUCACCGGUACCUCCCAGGCUGACUGUGCUGUUCUCAUCAUUGACUCGACCAUUGGUGGUUUUGAGUCUGGUUUCUCCCAGGAUGGGCAGACCCGUGAGCAUGCUCUCCUUGCUUUCACUCUUGGAGUGAAGGAGAUGAUCUGCUGCUGCAACAAGAUGGAUUGCACUACUCCCAGGUACUCUAAGGCACGGUACGAUGAAAUAGUGAAGCAGGUGGCAUCUUAUCUGAAGAAGGUUGGGUACAACCCGGACAUUGUCCCCUUUCUUCCAGUCUCAGGAUUUGAGGGUGACAACAUGGUUGAGAGGUCUGCCAACCUUGACUGGUACGAGGGCCCCACCCUCCUUGAGGCUCUUGAUCAGAUCGUCGAGCCCAAGAGACCCAUCACAAAGCCCCUGCGUCUUCCGCUUCAGGACGUUUACAAGAUUGGUGGUAUUGGAACUGUGCCCGUUGGUCGGCUUCAGACUGGUACCAUGAAGCCUGGCAUGGAUGUUACCUUUGGUCCCACUGGCCUGACCACCGAGGUGAGCUCCCUUGAAAUGCAUCACGAGGCUGUCCAGGAGGCCCUUCCUGGUGAUCUUGUUGGCUUCAAUGUCAAGAAUGUAGCUGCCAUGGAUCUGAAGCGUGGGUAUGUGGCAUCAAAUGCCAAAGAUGACCCUGCCAAGGAGGCUAGGAGCUUCACUUCGCAGAUUAUAGUGUUGAACGACACCGGAGUUAUCAGGAAUGGGUACACACCUGUGCUGGACUGCCACACCUCCCACAUAGCUGUGAAGUUUGCUCAGUUGGUGACCAAGAUUGACAGGUGA
rnacentral:rRNA from 1 species